rnacentral:rRNA from 1 species
AUAUUAAUAAGCGGAGGAAAAGAAACUAACAAGGAUUCCCCUAGUAACGGCGAGUGAAGCGGGAUGAGCUCAAGCUUAAAAUCUCCGUACAAGUUUUGUACGGCGAAUUGUAGUCUAUAGAGGCGUGGUCAGCGUGGGCGCUUGGGGCAAGUUCCUUGGAAGAGGACAGCAUGGAGGGUGAUACUCCCGUUCAUCCCUGAGUGGCUCGUGCGUACGACCCGUUUUCUUUGAGUCGCGUUGUUUGGGAAUGCAGCGCAAAGUAGGUGGUAAAUUCCAUCUAAAGCUAAAUAUUGGUGCGAGACCGAUAGCGAACAAGUACCGUGAGGGAAAGAUGAAAAGAACUUUGAAAAGAGAGUUAAAGAGUACCUGAAACUGCUGAAAGGGAACCGAAUCGUUUCCAGUGUCUAUAAUCCGUGGCAUAUUUCAUUGGCGAGUAGUGUACGCGCCAGGGCUUUGACAGCGGCCUUUUGGUUGCUCUUAGCACGGGUUGCCUUGUACAUUUACUUGCUGGUGCCCUGUGCUGCGGUGGGACGUCAACGUCAGUUCGUAUGCUGCGGGAAAUGGCUGCCGAGGAGGUAGGGCUUACGCUUGCGUUUGUCUGUUAUAUCUUGGUGGACGAGUCGUCGUGGUUGGGACUGAGGUGCCUACAACGUGCUUUUGAGUGGGUUUGUGUCUCCGUGUGUACCGUGUGCGGAUAGCUUGCUAUGCGUGUGUGGUUAUGUGUGGAUUGAUGCGGGCUUUAACUUGUUGCCGUUCGGGACGUUGACGAAAUGGAGCGAUCCGACCCGUCUUGAAACACGGACCAAGGAGUCUAACAUAUGUGCAAGUGUUAGGGUGUGGAAACCCCAGCGCGAAAUGAAAGUAAAGGCCAGUGCAAGCUGUGCGAGGUAGGAAACGUUGUGGGCUCGACCUGCCGCGUGGCACUAUCGACCGAUCAUGAACCUUCGUGGUGAAAGAUUUGAGUGUGAGCACAUAUGUUGGUACCCGAAAGAUGGUGAACUAUGCCUGAGUAGGGUGAAGCCAGGGGAAACUCUGGUGGAAGCUCGUAGCGAUUCUGACGUGCAAAUCGAUCGUCAAACUUGGGUAUAGGGGCGAAAGACUAAUCGAACCAUCUAGUAGCUGGUUCCCUCCGAAAUUUCCCUCAGGAUAGCAGCAACUUAUUUACGAUAGUUUUAUGAGGUAAAGCGAAUGAUUAGAGGAUUCGGGGAAGAAACUUCCUCGACCUAUUCUCAAACUUUAAAUCUGUAAGACCUGCAGGUUUCUUAAUUGAACUUGUGGAUGUGAAUAUCAAGUUGCUAGUGGGCCAUACGGGGUAAGCUCGUCUGGCGAUGCGGGAUGAACCGAACGCAAAGUUAAAGUGCCAAAAUGCCCGCUCACCUAGAUACCAUAAAAGGUGUUGGUUCAUU